rnacentral:rRNA from 1 species
AUUGAACGCUGGCGGCAUGCUUUACACAUGCAAGUCGAACGGUAACAGGCCGCAAGGUGCUGACGAGUGGCGAACGGGUGAGUAAUGCAUCGGAACGUGCCCAGUCGUGGGGGAUAACGCGGCGAAAGCUGCGCUAAUACCGCAUACGAUCUAUGGAUGAAAGCGGGGGACCGUAAGGCCUCGCGCGAUUGGAGCGGCCGAUGUCAGAUUAGGUAGUUGGUGGGGUAAAGGCUCACCAAGCCAACGAUCUGUAGCUGGUCUGAGAGGACGACCAGCCACACUGGGACUGAGACACGGCCCAGACUCCUACGGAGGCAGCAGUGGGGAA